CAGGGUUGGACACAUUUUAAAAAGCCCUAAAACCUAUGUAAGAAAUUGACAUCUGAAAGGCAGGACGAAGCAAACGAGGAUGUGCCUUUGCUCUGCAACACACAGCACUAGAUGGCCGUGUUUCCUACCAAAAGCAAGUUCCCUGGAAGACUGAACACUGGAAUAAAUAACCUCCCUUUGACCGCA